rnacentral:lncRNA from 12 species
CAUGAGGACUGAUUAAACAGAAGCUCCUAAAAGGAUUAUCAGCAGGCACACGGCUCCCAGUGCCCACCAGCUGAGUACCGCCUCCUGGGGUGUGAAGAGGGAUCCUGUUAUGGUGUUACUUCCGGCCACUGUGUAAGUCAGCCCAUGCACACAAUCCCUCUGACAUCCCAGCUAACCUGGGGGAGCAGACUGCGAAGGAAUAAUUACUUUGGCUUUUAAGAACUGCUAGGAUUCAGCACUAUUUCCUACCCCCUUUGCCAAUAGGUUGUCCCACAGGGAUUUUCACCUCGGUGUUUCUGGUUCCCCCUCCAGAAAUAUCCUUUUCUCUCACCAUUCGCUGUGGAGACCUACAAUCCGGCCCCAAAAGCCAUUUCCUUUUCAAAGCCUCACUGGGCAGAUUGCACAACGUGAUGGUUUCUGGAUCACAUCAAGGCUGCACACAGGCUUCUUUCGCAGUGGGAUACUCAGGAAGUCUUUCAUAGAAGAAAGAUUAAGACCCACAGAAUAAGUCAGCCUGUGGUAACCAAGAGGGUCUCCACUUCGUGAGGUUCCAUUUGUGCAUCAUGAAUGUCUCCAAAUCCCAAGCGCCUGUGGAAGGCCCUUCUAUGCCAUUUUACAAACGAAUCUUCUCGAGGCCUUUUCAAGGAGUCUAUCAUUUACUCUUAGGAAAUGCC